AGGUAGUAUGGAUUAAACCUAUUUACUUUGGCGGCUAUUAUAUUAUUAGAGGAACUUGUCCAAUAAGCGACAAUCCACGAUAAUUUUUACUUUAAUUAAAAAUUUAUAUAUCGCCAUCUAAAGAGUUAAUUCAAAAGCUUUCUCUAAAUAAAAAAUAAAAAGUUAGGUCAAGGUGUAAUCAAUAUUAAAGAUAUGAUGAGUUACAUUAAAAUCAAUUUAAGGAUUCUUAUUUUAAAAUAAGAUAUAAAAAGAAUUUAUAAGUAAUAUUAUAAUAAUAUUUUACUAUGAAUAAAAUAAUAAAAGUGC
rnacentral:rRNA from 1 species